CGUUAAUGAGUUGUUGAAGGUCAUUGAUCUUAGUUACUCAAGAAGUCUAAUCAAGACCCCGGACUUUCAAGGGCUCCCGAAUCUUGAGGAGUUGAAUCUUGAAGGGUGUGAGAGCCUGCGUGAAGUACACCAAUCUAUCGGAGUUAUGAAAAGGCUUGUUUUUCUGAACCUGAAGAACUGUAGAAACCUUGUGGCUCUUCCGAGUAGCAUGUGUAACUUGAAGUCCCUUCAGACUCUUAUCUUGAGUGGUUGUUCAAAACUUAUAAAACUUCCAGAUAGGUGGGAGGAUAUGACCUGUUUGGAGAAGCUUGAUGCAACUGGGAUUGGUAUGGAACAAUUGGAAUUAGCUGAACAAUGGGAUUUCCAUCUCCCACCAUGGCUGAUGUCUUGGACUUGGAAGAAUCCACAUCCUAUGGCAAUUGUGUUUUCUUCAGGUUUACCCGCUUUGAAAGAACUAAAUGCAAGUUACUGCAAGCUCCCAGAACGAGCAAUUCCCAAUGACCUCAGUGUCUCCUUCCCCUUCCUGGAACGUCUCGAUCUAAGUGGAAAUAAUUUUGUAAGCUUACCAUCAAGCAUCAGUAAUCUUUCCCAUCUUGAUUCUCUCGAAGUAUCUAAUUGCAAGAGGCUUCAGUUAUUGCCAGAUCUUCCAUCGACAAUUACAAGUCUACAUGCCAAUAAUUGCACUUCUCUGGAAAAUCUUCCAAAUGUAUCUGAAAAACAAAAUAAUCCGGUGAAUAUUUUGAUGGAAUUCUCAAAUUGCUCCAAAUUGAAUGAUAAUUAUCAAGGGAAUAUCAAAGCGGCAUUUACAUGGUUGAAAAGUCACCUUCUUUUUCUUCUAGCAAGUCGUUUGGUGCUUAGCAUGCGACAUGAAAGAUGUUGCCCUGAGGUAUCUCUCUCAAAUCAUUCUUUCCUUUCCUUUUUAUCCCAAUGAACUUUUUUGUGCGUGUCAAGUACUAAUAAAAUAUAGGUAAUAAUUGUUCAUGCAGAAAGGGUACUAUCUAGGUGAGCCACAUUCGCUCAUGUUCCUUGACAUCUCUAUGCGGUUCCCUGGGAGCGAAAUUCCUGAAUGGUUCAACUGUCAGAGUUCCAGCAAUCCGCUGACACUACUCCUACCUCCAUGUGAAAAGUGGUGGAACAUUGCAGGUUUUGUUAUUUGUGUUGUGAUUUCAGGAAAAGCAGUUUAUGACUGUGUUGAGGGGUUAAAUUAUGAAGAUGCUUUUGAACUCUUUUGCUCAAAAGCCAUCAAGAAUAAUUCUCAGGAGGAGGAAUACCGAGAGCUUUGUCAUGAGUUCGUAGAAUAUGCCAGCGGCCUCCCUUUAGCUCUUAAAGUUUUAGGUUCAUCUUUGUUUGGUCAAUCUGUGAAGGAAUGGAACAAGACAUUAGAUAAAUUGAAAAAAAUUCCAAAUGAAGAAAUUCUAAGCAAGCUUCAAUUAAGUUAUGAUGGGCUUGACAGAACAUCACAAGAAAUAUUCCUUGAUAUUGCAUGUUUCUUCAAAGGAAUGGAGACAGAUUAUGUGUUAAAAGUACUAGAAAGUUGUGGAUUCUUCCCAGAUAGUGGAGUAGGAGACCUCAUUGAUAAAUCUCUCAUAACUAUUUGUUGUGGAAGUGUGUGGAUGCAUGAUUUGAUUCAAGAAAUGGGAAGAGAAAUUGUUCAUAAAGAAUCUCGUGAAAACCCAGGGCUACGUAGUAGAAUAUGGCUUGACAAGGAUGUCUCUCACAUUCAAGUGAAGAACAUGGUAAGCAAUACUUUGUAGUUACAGACUAUAUUCCAUUCAAUAACUUAAAAUUUUGAGAUAUCUGAUUUUAUGUUUGUCUCUUGUUUCUUAUAUACCUUCAAUUGUCAGGAAGCAAAUGCUAAGGCUAUAGUCUUGCGUUCCUGGAAACAAGAGGAACAAUUGAGUGCUAAAGUCUUCUCCAGAAUGAAAGUGCUAAGAUUGCUCAUACUCCGAGAUGUACCCGCGUCUCAGGAUAUUGAAUAUCUUUCCAAUGAAUUAAGGUAUUUGGAAUGGUAUAAAUAUCCUUGUAAAUCUUUUCCAUCAAAUUUUCAACCAGGUAAACUUGUCGAGCUCCAUAUGAAAUGCAGCAAUAUUGAACAACUAUGGAAGAGAUCAAUUAAAGUAAGUGUUUCUUUAUUUCUUUAUUUUAGUGUCUAUUACAAUGUCAUGAUAUAUAUGUAUAAUACAUUUUUUUUGGUAUAUCUUGUUACAGCCCGUUAAUGAGUUGUUGAAGAUCAUUGAUCUUAGUUACUCAAGAAGUCUAAUCAAGACCCCGGACUUUCAAGGGCUCCCGAAUCUUGAGAAGUUGAAUCUUGAAGGGUGUGAGAGCCUGCGUGAAGUACACCAAUCUAUCGGAGUUAUGAAAAGGCUUGUUUUUCUGAACCUGAAGAACUGUAGAAACCUUGUGGCUCUUCCGAGUAGCAUGUGUAACUUGAAGUCCCUUCAGACUCUUAUCUUGAGUGGUUGUUCAAAACUUAUAAAACUUCCAGAUAGGUGGGAGGAUAUGACCUGUUUGGAGAAGCUUGAUGCAACUGGGAUUGGUAUGGAACAAUUGGAAUUAGCUGAACAAUGGGAUUUCCAUCUCCCACCAUGGCUGAUGUCUUGGACUUGGAAGAAUCCACAUCCUAUGGCAAUUGUGUUUUCUUCAGGUUUACCCGCUUUGAAAGAACUAAAUGCAAGCUACUGCAACCUCCCAGAAGGAGCCAUUCCCAAUGACCUCAGUGUCUCCUUCCCCUUCCUGGAACGUCUCGAUCUAAGUGGAAAUAAUUUUGUAAGCUUACCAUCAAGCAUCAGUAAUCUUUCCCAUCUUGAUUCUCUCGAAGUAUCUAAUUGCAAGAGGC
rnacentral:lncRNA from 1 species